rnacentral:rRNA from 1 species
AACGAACGCCGGCGGCAUGCCUAACACAUGCAAGUCGAACGAAGCCUUCGGGCUUAGUGGCGCACGGGUGCGUAACGCGUGGGAAUCUGCCCUUUGGUUCGGAAUAACAGUUGGAAAAGACUGCUAAUACCGGAUGAUGACGAAAGUCCAAAGAUUUAUUGCCAGAGGAUGAGCCCGCGUAGGAUUAGCUAGUUGGUGUGGUAAAGGCGCACCAAGGCGACGAUCCUUAGCUGGUCUGAGAGGAUGAUCAGCCACACUGGGACUGAGACACGGCCCAGACUCCUACGGGAGGCAGCAGUGGGGAAUAUUGGACAAUGGGCGAAAGCCUGAUCCAGCAAUGCCGCGUGAGUGAUGAAGGCCCUAGGGUUGUAAAGCUCUUUUACCCGGGAUGAUAAUGACAGUACCGGGAGAAUAAGCCCCGGCUAACUCCGUGCCAGCCGCCGCCGUAA